AUCGCUUCUCAGCCCUUUGGCUAAGAUCAAGUGUAGUAUCUGUUCUUCUCAGUUUAAUAAUAGCCCCAUCAGAAAUGAAUAAAUCAGUUUGGGAAAUGAAGGUAGCAGAAACCAAGAGCACUACUGGGGAAAAGUACAUGGGACUGGAAAAUAAGAGUCUGUUGCUAAAAGAAAGGAAACUAUU